UACGUAGGGGGCAAGCGUUGUCCGGAAUCAUUGGGCGUAAAGCGCGUGUAGGCGGCUGGGUAAGUCCGCUCUGAAAGCCCGGGGCUCAACCCCGGGAGGCGGGUGGAUACUGCUCAGCUCGAGUUCGGUAGGGGAGUCUGGAAUUCCUGGUGUAGCGGUGAAAUGCGCAGAUAUCAGGAGGAACACCGGUGGCGAAGGCGGGACUCUGGGCCGAUACUGACGCUGAGGAGCGAAAGCGUGGGGAGCAAACAGG
rnacentral:rRNA from 1 species